CAAUUCUGAAGGUCCACGAGAAGUGUCGUCAGUACUAUCGUCAGUUACUAUCAGUUGUAAGGACGAAGAAGAUGGUAGAAGAAAGAAGAAAUAAUUUCAUGAUGUAACUUCGAACAAAGAGUGGUGCUCCAUAGAUAGGUCUUCGUCAUUCUUGUUGCCGGGAUCGCUGAGACUAGUUUGGGUCCGUAUGUGAUAAUGAAGUUUUAUCAUCUCGUAAUUACAGAUUAUGAUUGCAUUUAUUCGUGCAGCCAUAGAUGAAUCGAUCUUUAUUUCGAUAAAAUAAAGAAGGAAUUGUGAAGUAGAUUUGUUGUUAAUGUUCUUCGGUUAAUUUAAAUUUGUUUGCGUUUUAUGAUGUUAACAAACUUUUAGGAAUAUCUAUAUGCAUAAUUUGAAUAAUUAUUCUAUCUAUAGAAUAGUAUUAUUCAUAUAGAAAUCUAUAUGAAUAAUUUGGGUCCAAAGCAGUCAUAGAGUCAAUAUUUGUUCGUAUAAAAUUUUAUUAUUCUUUUUUUCUACACUCAGAUAUACUAUAGAUACAUA